rnacentral:rRNA from 1 species
UUCUGGAAGUGAAAAAGCGUAACAAGGUUUCCGUAGGUGAACCUGCGGAAGGAUCAUUAUUG